rnacentral:lncRNA from 1 species
AACUCAUCACAGCAGUAUUGCAUAAAUACCCACAACACUUCAAUUAUUAUAGCAUUGGUGGAUGUACUAAGGUAAUUUCCUCAGUCAGUGAGUCUAUAAUAAAGACAGGUGGCUAAUGACAAAGUAUAAAAAGAUGUAGCUUUAGAAAACAUUUUUUUAAAACUAGAUUUGCAGUACAAGCUUAAUGAUGUUGGGUUUUGUAAUUUCAGUUCCUGUGUGGUUUCUCUAGGAGGAAGAAGAGAAGGAUUACUGAGGGAAGAGCUAUGCUGAUGCAUGAAUAGGGCCUCUUCUACUUAAUGGUUUUGAUAAAACCUUCAGAAAUGUAGAUUGAGAUUUCUCUAUUGAAUUUUCUUCAGUUGCAAAGACUGUCCAUUUGUGAGCAGAGCAGUGCUAUUCCAUACUAUUAUUCCAUAUUAUUAAGGAAAUCUGGAACAUGUCCUAGCGAGAAUCAUUACAAACUCAGUGGAAAGGAUGACUGACUUUACUCCAACUCCCUCACUUCAAACCUUUCAUCUCCUGAUACAAGUUAAUUUUUCGAAUGCCAGAAGGUUUUACAGUUCUUCAUAAAACAACAAGUGCUAAGAACAUUGUGUGAAGGAAUAUGAUGAGCUUGUCUACAAUCAUUAAGAGACUGAUUUAAACAGUCAGUGCUUUGAAGUCUUAACUCCUAAAACAGAAGUGCCUAAGUCAGACUUGGAUAUGUUAAGUGGGAUUUUCCUUAAUGCAGCAUUUUAAAGAUGGGUCUAGACUCUGUUUAAAUAAAAUAUGCAUGGUAUACA